GCACUUCGUGUCCCUCCUGAUGAGUGUUGUUAAGGCCUGGAGGCCUGAUCUGAAAAACGGGACACUUACUCUGUCUAGCCUAGGGAGGGUCCUGGCCUGGCAAGCCUCUGCAGGUGGGCACUCUGCCCCUGUCCAGAGUGCCGAGGUGUAAUCCCUUGCCUGUGGCUGCUGCAACUGUGUUGCCCUUUUCCUUUCCUGCCAGGAGAAAAGGCAGAGGAACUCAUUCUUCAGGAGGCUACCACGCCUUGUCCAGGUGAGAGGCAGUCCACAGUGUCAACUCCAGGCCUGGUGGGGAGACCCAUGACCUCCCUUCCCUCCUCAGUGAAGUUACAAGUUACAUCUGCAUGCAGAGGAAGGAAGUUCCUGGAAGGCUCAGAAUUGAAAUUUGUAACACCCGUGCGGCGCUCACAACGGAUUGAGAGGGUUGGGAGUCACUACCCAGAGAUGCUGAAAGACCAUGACCCUGUGGUGUCAUCCCUUAGUGAAAUUCUGGAUGCUGAGGAGGAGACUUGCUUCUUCUUCCGUAAAAACAAGGCUUUGCCAGAAGUGACAGAGCUGGAGGGUUUGAGUUCAUAUUCCCCCAAGAGCUCCUGAGAGGUUCCCAGCAGGUAUAAGGCUGCCUGCCCACUGUGCUGCCUCAUACGCGCUCCCUAGACUGCUCUUGCUGUCCCACAUAUGUAGAGGGGAGGGGAUGGCAGAGAAUAAGCAUGUUUUAAAUAUCUAAUUGCAGUUUUAAACAUCUAUAAACAUUAAACUUUGCAGUGGA